UGGGGAAUAUUGGACAAUGGGCGAAAGCCUGAUCCAGCAAUACCGCGUGUGUGAAGAAGGCCUUCGGGUUGUAAAGCACUUUAAGUUGGGAAGAAAAAACUUUACCUAAUACGUGAAGUCUUGACGGUACCGACAGAAUAAGCACCGGCUAACUCUGUGCCAGCAGCCGCGGUAAUACAGAGGGUGCUAGCGUUAACCGGAUUUACUGGGCGUAAAGCGUGCGUAGGUGGUUUGAUAAGUCGGUUGUGAAAGCCCCGGGCUCAACCUGGGAAUUGCGGCCGAUACUGUCAGACUCGAAAACGGUAGAGGGAGGUGGAACUCCAGGUGUAGCGGUGAAAUGCGUAGAUAUCUGGAAGAACAUCGAUGGCGAAGGCAGCCUCCUGGGCCUGUUUUGACACUGAGGCACGAAAGCGUGGGUAGCAAACA
rnacentral:rRNA from 1 species